AGCGAUUCUAAUAGUCAUGGAUUCAAGCGUAUAGAGGUUUAUCAUGGCUCAGAUUGAACGCUGGCGGCAGGCCUAACACAUGCAAGUCGAGCGGUAACAGAGAGUAGCUUGCUACUUUGCUGACGAGCGGCGGACGGGUGAGUAAUGCUUGGGAAUAUGCCUUUUGGUGGGGGACAACAGUUGGAAACGACUGCUAAUACCGCAUAAUGUCUACGGACCAAAGUGGGGGACCUUCGGGCCUCACGCCAAAAGAUUAGCCCAAGUGGGAUUAGCUAGUUGGUAAGGUAAUGGCUUACCAAGGCAACGAUCCCUAGCUGGUUUGAGAGGAUGAUCAGCCACACUGGGACUGAGACACGGCCCAGACUCCUACGGGAGGCAGCAGUGGGGAAUAUUGCACAAUGGGCGCAAGCCUGAUGCAGCCAUGCCGCGUGUGUGAAGAAGGCCUUCGGGUUGUAAAGCACUUUCAGUAAGGAGGAAAGGGUAGUCUUUAAUAGAGGCUAUCUGUGACGUUACUUACAGAAGAAGCACCGGCUAACUCCGUGCCAGCAGCCGCGGUAAUACGGAGGGUGCGAGCGUUAAUCGGAAUUACUGGGCGUAAAGCGUACGCAGGCGGUUUGUUAAGCGAGAUGUGAAAGCCCCGGGCUCAACCUGGGAACUGCAUUUCGAACUGGCAAACUAGAGUGUGAUAGAGGGUGGUAGAAUUUCAGGUGUAGCGGUGAAAUGCGUAGAGAUCUGAAGGAAUACCGAUGGCGAAGGCAGCCACCUGGGUCAACACUGACGCUCAUGUACGAAAGCGUGGGGAGCAAACAGGAUUAGAUACCCUGGUAGUCCACGCCGUAAACGAUGUCUACUAGAAGCUGGGAGCCUCGGAUCUGUUUUUCAAAGCUAACGCAUUAAGUAGACCGCCUGGGGAGUACGGCCGCAUGGUUAAAACUUAAAUGAAUUGACGGGGGCCCGC
rnacentral:rRNA from 1 species